rnacentral:rRNA from 1 species
UACGGAGUGUGCAAGCGUUACUCGGAAUCACUGGGCCUAAAGCGCGCGUAGGCGGGUUUCCAAGUCGGUUGUGAAAUCCCUCAGCUCAACUGAGGAACUGCAUCCGAUACUGUUUGUCUUGAGGACGGGAGGGGAGAGUGGAACUUCUGGUGAAGCGGUGAAAUGCGUAGAUAUCAGAAGGAACGCCGGUGGCGAAAGCGACUCUCUGGCCCGUAUCUGACGCUGAGGCGCGAAAGCUUGGGUAGCAAACGGG